rnacentral:rRNA from 1 species
CCAAUAGCGUAUAUUAAAGUUGUUGCAGUUAAAAAGCUCGUAGUUGAAUUUCGGGAUCAGUACGCCGGUCGUGCCUUCGGUAUGUACUGGUGUCACUGAUUCCUCCCUUCUGAAGAACCGUUAUGCCAUUCAUUUGGUGUGACGGGGAAUCAGGACUGUUACUUUGAAAAAAUUAGAGUGUUUAAAGCAGGCUCGCGCUUGAAUACAUUAGCAUGGAAUAAUGAAAUAGGACGUUUGAUCUUAUUUUGUUGGUUUCUAGGAUCGACGUAAUGAUUAAUAGGUGUAGUUGGGGGCAUUAGUAUUCAAUUGUCAGAGGUGAAAUUCUUGGAUUUAUUGAAGACUAACUACUGCGAAAGCAUUUGCCAAGGAUGUUUUCAUUAAUCAAGAACGAAAGUUAGGGGAUUGAAGACGAUCAGAUACCGUCGUAGUCUUAACCAUAAACUAUGCCGACUAGGGAUCGGAUGAUGUUAUUUUUAAUGACUCAUUCGGCGCCUUACG